CCUACGGGUGGCAGCAGUGAGGAAUAUUGGUCAAUGGGCGUAAGCCUGAACCAGCCAAGUCGCGUGAGGGAUGAAGGUUCUAUGGAUCGUAAACCUCUUUUAUAAGGGAAUGAAGUGUGGGAUGUGUCCUAUUUUGGAUGUACCUUAUGAAUAAGGAGCGGCUAACUCCGUGCCAGCAGCCGAGGUAAUACGGAGGAUCCGAGCGUUAUCCGGAUUUAUUGGGUGUAAAGGGUGCGUAGGCGGCCUUUUAAGUCAGCGGUGAAAGUCUGUGGCUCAACCAUAGAACUGCCGUUGAAACUGGUGGGCUUGAGUAUGUGUGAGGCAGGCGGAAUGCGUGGUGUAGCGGUGAAAUGCUUAGAUAUCACGCAGAACCCCGAUUGCGAAGGCAGCCUGCCAAGCCACGACUGACGCUGAUGCGCGAAAGCGUGGGGAUCAAACAGGAUUAGAUACCCCAGUAGUC
rnacentral:rRNA from 1 species